GUCGAGAAUAAUUCACAAUGGGGGCAACCCUGAUGGUGCAACGCCGCGUGGAGGAUGAAGGUCUUCGGAUUGUAAACUCCUGUCAUCCGGGAGCAAGACCUGGCCGUGAAUAGCGGACAGGGUUGAUAGUACCGGAAGAGGAAGGGACGGCUAACUUCGUGCCAGCAGCCGCGGUAAUACGAAGGUCCCGAGCGUUGUUCGGAAUUACUGGGCGUAAAGCGCGCGUAGGCGGCCCGUGAAGUCAGGAGUGAAAACUCGGGGCUCAACCUCGAGAUUGCUUUUGAAACCAGCGGGCUUGAGUGCAGGAGAGGAAGGCGGAAUUCCCAGUGUAGCGGUGAAAUGCGUAGAUAUGCGGAGGAACACCAAAAGCGAAGGCAGAUCACUGGCGCAUUCCUGACACUGAAGCACGAAAGCGUGGGGAGCAAACAGGAUUAGAAACCCUUGUAGUCC
rnacentral:rRNA from 1 species